UAGAGUCAUAAAAUCAUUAAGGUUGGAAAAGAUCUCUAAGAUCAUCUAGUCCAACUCUCAAACCAUCACACCAUGCCCACUCAUACAAUCAUUAAGGUUCGAGGAGAUCUUCAAGAUUCCCAAGUCCAACCCCAACCCAUUCCCACCAUGCCCUCUAACCAUGUCCCCAAAGCCACAACCCCACAAUUCUGGAACAUCUCCAGGGAUGGAAACACCACCACUUCCCUGGGCAGCUUGUUCUAAUGUCAACAGCCUUCUCUGCCAAUCUAUCUAUCAACCUAUCUCUCCAUCUAUCUAUUUAUUUUGGAGAUAUGACCAGUGAAAAUUAGACAUGCCAAACCAAGGGAGGAUUUAAAAUAUUAAGUGUUUAGGCAUGCUUGCCUGUAGUAGAUAACUUCUACCCAAACCAGCCGAGACUCAGUGCUGUACAGGGCAGGGAGGCACUGUACAGGGCACUGACAGCAGGCUCUUAGCUUGUAGCUGCAGCCCUACCUGAGCUCUGGGACCACUGAGCCUUCAGCCCACAUUAACACUGAUUAAAUCACCAGGGUAUGAAAAUAAAUAACACAGAUGAGAUGGCAAAGGAAAACUGGCUGAGGCAUUAGCGCUGCUUGACAGUACUUCUGUACACCAGAAACUGCUGUAAACUUCUGAUCACCACUUUCUGAUCACCUCUCAUCUUCAAUAAAGCCAUGCUGUGAGUAAUAAUGAUAAUAACAAUAAUAAUAAUAAUAAUAAUAAUAAUAAUUGUUUGGAGAAGAGAAGGCUCAGGGGAGACCUUAUUGCUCUCUACAACUACCUGAAGAGAGGUUGCAGUGAGCUGGGGGUCGGCAUCUUCUCUCAUGUAACUAGUGAUAGAACUAGAGGGAAUGGCUUCAAGCUGAACCAGGGGAGAUUCAGGCUGGACACUAGGAAGUACUGUUUUUCUGAAAGAGCGGUCAAGCACUGGAAUGGGCUGCCCAGGACAAUGGUGGAGUCACUGACCCUGGGGGUGUUCAAGGAACGUUUGGAUUUCAUGUUGAGGGAUAUGAUUUAGUGAGAACUAUUGGUGAUAGGUGGGUGGUUGGACUGGAUGAUCUUGAACAUCUUUUCCAACCUUGGUGUUUCUGUGAUUCUGAUUCUAUUACACAGUCCCUUGCAGAGCAGGAUCCAGGGCAUCAGGGAUCUGCAGGGCUUCUGUUUCCUCCUACAGAUAGCAUGCAAUCAUGAGACUUCUCAUCCACCUUCCAAUGGGAUGAACAAAAGCUUUAAAUCAGUCAAUGUGAGCCAUGAAUAACUUGAUUAGAAUUAAUGUCUUCAGCCCGUGCAGGUUAGAUAAGGCUGAGCCCAAACAACUCAGUAAUCAGGUCUCAGGAUGGUGUUGCAUGAUGAAUCAUAGCCUUACUGAUUUUAGAUGGGACACUGACUUUACAAUGACAUGUUGUUGAUACAUUAAUAGAUAUCUUAUUUUACUGAUACUUUUCUUCAUGUUAAGAGUUGAAGAAAAUGCUCAGGAGGAAUGACCAACCAUGUUGUUAUUUCAUAAAGGUGAUGAGGGCCAUAGGGUAUGCUAUGUGAGGAAGUGCACCGGGACCUCAGUAUGGAUCCACAGCUCCACACAGCUGUGAAGUGUUGUGAAGGCACAGAAAUACACACAUAGAAAGCAAUAUUAAAAGGUAUCUAGUCAGUUAGAUUGAACAGAACAAACUCAAUUUCUAUGGAUUGCCAAGUAGAGAGCUCAUGGGAGAAAAGACACAAAAUACAAAUACCUUCAAAGGAUAAUUCACACAACCAGAAAAUGACAAAACAAAAAGUAGUGCUUUCAAACUAGGAACACAAAGUGCAGUGGAGUAAUUGUUCCAUAAACACAGUAUGGUGGCAGUGAGGAAAGAGCCAGGAAGGAAAAAAAGAGGUGAGAAGGGACCACAGGCAUAAUUAAUGUAGGUUUUGGAAUAUUAAGGGAUUAGCAAUAGGCACAGCAAUAUUCUUCCUCUCUGCACAAAAGAGGUCUGGGGUCGGCUGCACCUGCCCACCACGGCCCUCAUCUCCUCAUCUCCAGCAGUCCUCUCUGUGCAUGAGUUGCUGUUUGGGAGGAACAAAGAGGUAAGAUGAGGGCUGGCAGGAACUGUACAGACCCUGUGCACAGCUCCCACGCAAGCCUACAUCCAUUGAGCUGCUGGAGGGAAAGGCAGAGUCCGCAGUCUGACCAGGCAUUUGAUUUGCCCCAGGAAGACAUCAGUCUAAGUCUUCUCAAAGUUGCCACCAUGGCUGGAGGACCUCCAGAGCAAUAAAGCAGCAGGAGCUGGGAGGAAGGCCUAGGCUGUGGAUGCAUGGCAUGCCAUAUGUCUCAUGGACAGCUUGCUGUCUCUCUCCUAACACCACAGAUGUAUCUCAUGGCCCCAGGCAGCAAAGGCCUCCUACCGCUCUCAGAGCCCUGAGGCUGGGCAGGCACCCGGGGUGCUUCACAUACUGAGGUUUUGCUACAGGUUUCUCUUCCAUCUGUUCACAGCAUCGGUUGCCCUUCCAGGAGGCUGCGAUUGAGAUUUUCCCUUUAACUUUGGUGCUCAUCCUUUGUGAGCGCUAAAGGCUUUAAAAUGUGCUACAUAAUAGUAGUUAGUUAACUGCAUUAAAACGAGUUGCCCGCUGUUAUUAACAUCUCAUUACACUUUUAGACUCAUUCUAGCUCCUUUCCCUGCAUAGGGAAUUCCAGAUAGGUAAAAAUUAAUCUGAUUUGUAAAGAAAGAAGGAAGCACUGGGAAGAAAUAAAGACAGAGAACUCAGUGCCUUCUGAGACAAAGUGUCCAAGUUCGUGGACAACAGUUAGAAACAGCCACAUGCCCACAAGUGCAGAGAUACCCUUUCUUCCACUGAAGUAAUGUCUUAACUAAAGAUAAUUCAUCUCAAAAAUGCUUCUCAACUUAAAAUAUUUGCUUAUGCUUAUUGGAAAAGGGCCCUGGUCAAACAGUGACACAGCUGAAGCCUAUCAGAAGUGGAACCCAGAUUUGAGACUGCGCCUCUGAAACAGACAUUAAAAUUGGUCUUCUAGUUCAGGAUUUUUUUAAAGUCAUUCAUUCCAAAACAUACACGAGUUUAAAAUAUUGCCAUGAUUUAAAAUAUACACUUGUGUUUUGACUGAGUAAAGAAAAUUAUAGAAGAUGGCAAAUUACCAUGCUCCAGCUCUUUUUCCAGAAAAGCUGUGCCUGAUUAGUGCAUAGUCUAAUCAGGUAAACAGAGGGCACCAACUCUAUAAAUAAUAUUGGGUUUUAUGUCCAUAAAAAUUAGCAGGAUGAGAUCUUUACUAUCUCAGUUGUUUCCAGAUUAAUUGGAAUACAUAAUGAAAGUAAUUACACUCUGGUAUUUUGUUGCAUGUCUCAGUGUAUCUUGGAAGGAGUCCAGUAAGCUGUCUGUCUAUAACCGAGUUAUGCAAUGGUGAUUUGUCAUUGAAAUUGCUCCUUAUGAGCAAUAAACAGGGAGCAUUUGUACAAAUAGUAAACGUCUCUUGAUUUUUACAAAACUGAUUUGCAUUUCUGUGCCACCCAUAGAUAUAUCUAGGAAUAAAUUACUGACAUUAUUUGUGAUUUAACCCUCCCAGAAAGCCCCUUUUGAAGAUAGAAAGUGAACAUUGCCCAGAAAUUCAAUAUGUCUAUAUAUACUACAGACGUGCAUGUACAAACCAUGCUGUAUUCAUGGAAAUAUAUUUGUCUUGUAGGAAAAUUCUCUUCUCUGCUAGGGAAACUAGUCAUCCAGUCAUCUAUUUUUUUUUUUUUUCUUUUUUUUUCUUUUUCCCCAAGAUAUAGUGGCGUUGAUAAAGGAGAAUUGUGAGAAAGGCUGGUUUAAAAUUACUGAGUGAAAGCAGGGCAUGACCUGGUGCACAGAACAAUGCUUCACAGCAUUUUGGGUUUUUACACACUCCCUUUCACUCUGUUCAUUUAAAAAAAUGGUGCUGGAUAACAGAUGAAAUUGGAGAUAACAUUUGGGGAAUAAGAAGGCUCUUCAAAUUUGAAGUCAUUAUGUCCAGUGGCUGUGAGUCUUGCAGCGGUGUCAUGGAAUUAGCUUCUUCUCAUUGGGGCCCACCUUGGGUCCCACUACGAUUCUCCCCACCUCACAAUUGUUUUCACUCUGUUUGCUCAGCAGAGUUUUGGUCUGCUCCACCAGUGUGUUCCAGUGCUCCUGGACCUAUAUCAGCAGGGUCCCCAAGUGUGAGAGUGAUAAAAUAGCAGACUCAGCUAUGGCAGGUAAAAGAAUCACAGAAUGAUAGAGGUUGGAAAAGACCUCCAAGAUUACCUGGUCCAACCAUCUACCCACCACCAAUAUUUUCCCACUAAACCAUGACCCUUAGUGCAUCAUCUAAAUGUUUCUUGAACACUUCCAGGAACAGUGACUCCCUGGGCAGGUUCCCAUUCCAGCAUCUGACCACCCUUUCAGAGAAGAAAUUUUUCCUAAUAUCCAGUGUGAAUCUUCCCUGGUGCAACUUGAGGCCAUUUCCUCUCUUUCUAUCGCUACUCAUGUGGGAGAAGAUGCCAAUCCCUACCUCACCACAGUCUCUUUUCAGACAGUUGUAGAGAGCAAUAAGGUCUCCCUUGAGCCUCCUAUUCUCCAGACUAAACAAUUCCAGAUCCCUCACCCAGACCUUUUAGCAGCUUCAUUGCUCUUCUCUGAAUGUGUUUCAGAGCUACAAGUGAAGAGGCUCAAAACUGAGCACAGUACUCAAGGUUCAGCCUUAACAGAGCUGAAUACACAGAGAUGACUGCUUCGCUGCUCCUAAAGGCAGCACUAUUUCUGAUACAAGCCAGGAUGCCAUUGGCGUUCUUGGCUACCUGGACAUACUGCUGGCUCAUGUUUAGCUGAGCAUUGACCAAUGCCUCCAGGUCCAUUUCUUCCACACAGUCUUCCAGCCGCUCUGCCCCAAGCCUGUUACAUUGCCUGGGGAUGUUGUGACCGAAGUGGAAGACUCAGCACUUGAUCUUGUUGAACUUCAUCCCACUGGCCUUACCCCAGCAAUCUAGCCUGUCCAGAUCCCUCUGUUGUAGGGCCUUCCUACCCCCUGGCAGACUGACACUUCCUGCCAACUAUAAUUUUUAUCUUGAAUUUUUCUAUGAGCAGUGCUCAGGUGACAGGACUAAAAGUCAAGAAUGCACAAGAAGAGCUUGUUAAAAUAGUUUCUGCAGGUAACAUCAAUGACCCUUUAUCUGUUGCUUACAGAUGAAAGAAAAAACAACACAAGUUUUUAAACUAUGCUUUGUAUUUAAAGCUAAUAUAUUACACAAAAGAAAUACUAACUCUUGUCAGUGAGCUGACAGAUUGCUUCUGGUCAUCAUGGGCCUGAUUUCCAAAAGUAUUUAGUGCCUAAUAAAACAGUUCAUUCGCAUGGAAUUUUAGAGAUGUUGCAGUAGGCCAGCUGCCAUGUCUCCACUAAAAUUGGUAGGAGUAGGAUGCGAGGCACAUCUGAAAAGCACUUGUCUGCAGCACUAUGUUCAAAACUAUCUCUACAAAGACAUUCAGGUAUUCAUUAACUUUCAUAUUCAGCUGAUGCUUUUUCUUGUCUAUUUGGGAUUCUACUUGUAAACAAGAAGAGAGAAAUAAGAACCUUACUAUGAUCAAAUUUUUGAGUUCCAACUUGAUGAAACGUGCCUCAGGGUGUUGGCCCUUCUAGUUAUGUCUUGCCCUGUCAAUUUGGUAUUAUCACAACAAUCUGGCUUCUUUUUUUAUUUCACCACGACACCCACAGUCAAGGCAUGAAUGUGCUCAGAGUGCAAAUCUGCUUUCUGCAAUUCACUGGUGUAAUCUUACCAGUUGUGAGAAAGUUCAUUGGGUCAUGCCUAGAAAGUGAAAUGAAAAACAACCUACUUGUGUUGCUCUCCCCUGUCCGCUCCCAAAGACACACCAACUAUUCUGAUGAUACCUCAGAACACAAUAACCUCUUUCAAGCUGUAUUUUCCAAAUUUUAUUGCCAGGUUUCCUAGCAGUAGGCUGUAAUUGGAAUCUGACUGUGAAAUAAACAGGUACAAAAUGAUUGACAAUUCCCAAAGAUGUAAAAAUACACACAUUUUAACCCCAUGCUGUUAAAAUAAUCCCGCACUGAUUCUACCAAUUAUUGUCUUUACCUGAAGCUGAAGAACCACCUCCAAUCAUUGGGAUCUUUGGUUAUUUAAAGCAAAUUCUACCAUAAUAAUAAGCUUGCAAGAUAAGUUAGAGUGUCAUUUCACUUGAUGUUUCUUUGAGCAAACUCAAAGAAACAGCAUUGUACCACACCAACAAAAUAUUCCCUCUAUUCUCUCUCCACAAAUUAUUUGACCGAAGAAAUACAUACCAUUUUUUUUUCAAAUGAGGACAGGACCAGUGUUAAUGAUCUUAUAGUCUGUGUGGUUCACACCUAAAUUAACAUCAUUAAAAUGAAACAAAUCUGUAAACACAUUGAUUCUACAACUGAAAAUUAUCAACUGCAAAUAACAUAUGAUGACCCCAUCGUAUGUUCAGUAAGAAAAAUCACAUCUGAUUCAAAACUGCUCUUUCCAGAGAUAUGAGCAAACUGAAAGAUUUCACUACGUGUAUUGUGGAAAUUGCACAGAAAAUGCAUUUCUACUUUUAGUUUUCUCAUUAUAUACUUUCACAUGUUUUCAGCACUGCUGUCUUCAUACCAGCACCGUAGACUACCUGGUGACUCUUGGAAAGUUAGGGGCACAGGUGAUUCACAGCUCAAAAUUUGAGAAAAGCAAUUAUGAAUCAAGUGGUCAAGGCUCUAUGUUGUUAAUGCUGCCAAACUCUUCCCAACACAAACCCUUCAUUUCAGUCAUAACUCUUCCAAAAUAUAACUGUCGAGACUGGAAUUUUUCAUGUCUGGUUUCCAACAGGGUGUCAGCAUGGAUUGUCCAGUUUUUUCCAAUAAUAAAGUCAGCAGAAAGUAUAUUAUUUGCCAGUCAUACUAUUUACUACAAAUUUACUAUGGUUCUGUCAAUAAUUUCUGGCAGUACAACAACUUGAGGCAAGGAAGUAAAAUUUUGCAGUGAAUAGCCUUUUUUGUGAUGGAUAAGCCUUUUGUUGUGCAUCUAUGUGUGUGGAGGGGUAUAAUGUUCAAAUGUAGCCAAGUUGUUAAUAAUUGAGAAAAAUUCUGAUUGCAUAUACUUAGUAGCAGUUGAUCAACAGCAUUUUCUGUUCAUGCUAAGCCAACAUUCUUCCUGUCCCCAGAAUAAAGGAGGCUAAAACAAGGCUUUCCCUGCAAUUGCUAGUCCCAGGUGCUCUGACUCCAGAGCUGGACACGAAACCAAGGCUGAGGCUGUGUGGAUCUGACCCCUGGCUGCAACAGAGAAGCAGGGAGGAAGGCAUUAACCUCCUUUUACUGGGGACACCCACAGGGCAGCACCCUUUUGAUGAGCAUUUCUCAUCGCCCCACGGCAGGGACAUGAGGCAGAUCUGACACAGCUGGACGAGUUCUUUCUUCUUCACAUAAAACAGAGGUGCUCUAUUAGGCCGGAAAGAGUGCAAGCAGGCUGACUGAGGCAGCAGAAUGGAAGAGGUCAAGCUCCAGAGGGCCAGCAACCCUGUGAUUCCUCCCCAGGCUCCUCUGAGCAGCUCUGGUUCUUCCAGGAUGUCCUUGAAGAGUUUCAACAAGCAUCCCAUUGUGAAGCUGGGCUGGAAAACUUGCAAGGAACUGGAAAGCAAUUUCCACCCUAACUCUAGGUGGAAUGCACGCACCACUCAAGAAAACAAACUGCAGUAAAAUAAAAAUUGAUUUCAUAGUUAAGACAGCUGAACGCUGCCCUGGAGGCCUGAAAUCUGCCACUGACUGAUAGAGCUGCUGUGUGAGGCAAGGUAUUUAAAACUUCAUUUGCUUCACUUUUGCUCUCUUCAUUUGAAUCAAGACCCUACCUUCGUCAUGCAGGAGCACUGAGUCCUCACACAUUAUAUCAGUGAGGACUGUGCCAUGAACAAAAGACCGCACCAGAAUCUGAUGAUAGUGUUGUUUUUUUUUUUCCUACUCAGUGUUCAAAAUCUGUAGUUAGUCAUUAUUUAUAUUCCUCUGCUUCAGUUUAUUAUCUGAAAAAAUUGGACUAAUAAUACUCUUCAUUGCAGCAAAGUAGUAUGACAGAAGUUCAUUACUGCUUGUGAAACAGCUGGAUACUCUAAUGACGACCAUAAAAGAAAUGGUCAUAAGGAAGCAAAUAAUUCUGAAUUAAACCAACUUUGCACAAUGUGAAAUUAAUAAGGCAUUGGACACUCAAUGAACACAAUGAUAAAAUCAAAUACUGGGCCCAUUAAUGUGCCAUUUAUAUGAACUAUGUUUCCAUGCCAGGUGUCUGACUUUAAAGAAUUUCAAGAGAAUAGAUCUAUCAGCAAAUACAAAAACAAAGUAUAUGUUCUCUUAAUUAAAGACUGAUUGCAAUGCACAAAUCCAAAGAAAGCAAAAAUAGCACAAAUUCUAUCCAGAAAAUACUAGAAUUGUGUUUUACCGAUUGACUUUCAAAGCUUUGCAUCCUUUUAAUAUUUAUUCUAGUAGAUAAUGUUAACACAUGCAAAUAAUAAUAAUAAUAAUAAUAAUAUAUAUUUUUAAAAUGCAUGAUGGCUAAACUGAUAAUUAGAAACUUAUGGCUUUAGAUGCUAAAAUGCUUUCCUAGGAGCAUAAUUCAGAUCGCAUAAUUUUGCAGUAUGUAGAUGUAAUACAAGCAACACUGAGACUUGACGUAGUAUCUAAAAUAUAUUCUUGAAACCCAGAAGAGACAAGAACAAGAUCAGCCUCAAAAGUCCUACAGAAACAAGAGCUUUAAUGUAAAUAAAUGCAAACAAAACUUGGGAUGACAGCAGCGACACAUUUUCCAUUUUUUCCUGACUUCUUGCAGAGGUUGAUGUGAUUUAGCACUGAAAUGAAAUCCAAUGACAAACAGUAGAAAUCCCUCUUUGAUGCUUCUUCACAAAGCAGCCUCCUUUCAUAGCAUCUUUUGCAUGCACAUAGGCAACUGAAAAAGUCAGGCUAACCUUUCACUUUAUGCAGUCACUUUGUUUUCCCUAGCCUGGUGAAUUAGAAGGGAGGGAUACCAAGAGGGAGAACCAAGUGGACAUGGGCAGCCCCUUUGGUCCCUCUGUGUGAGCCGUGGAGGGGUAGCCCAAGGUGCAGGUCCCAUCUGAGUGACCAGCCUGCCCCACUGAAUGCUUCCUAGCUCCUCUCCUCUGCCUCUCACCUGGCAAACCAACACUCUUGAAGCUCAAACCAUGAACGGCUGGGUUACAGACAUAAACCUGGAAGGAUUUCAUCCUCCUUGCCACCACAGCCUUCAACAGAAAGGAGGUUUCUGGCAGUUUCCCUUCCAUCCUGUGUCCUUCGUAACCAGGAAGGUCCUGGGCAUGACACAGCCCUGCUUGCCUGUGCUUCAAGAACAUUAAUGUGAAACGGAUUUGGAGCCCACAAAUUAAUCCUGUGACUUACAAUAAGAUUUCAUACUGUCUUGCCAGACAUUUUUAAAAUGUCCUUGUCAUAUGUUAGCAUAAAAUUAAAAAUAUGCUGUGUGCUCUGUAGACAAUAUUUAUGCACUGUUCUGGGCUCUGGACAGUGACUUAUGUGCAUCACACACCCUGCUGCCACGUGCUCCUAGGCUGCACAUGCAAGAUAACCUGGUUAUCACUAACGCCGUGGUAUAGCUUGGACUUGCCAGUAAAGUUAAAAGCCAUUUUAAUCAUGAGGAAAAUUCAGAUACUGUACUUCUGACUGUAACACAGCAAAUGAGUACUAGCCAUAAUACUGCAUUUUUCACUUACAUUUUCUUCCCGGAAUAUCUGAAGAGCCUUUUGUAUAUUAAAUCACCUAUCAUGGUUGAUCUUAAUGCAUCAGUCAUAUAUUUCUCUUCCUCUUUCAAAUUACACUUACUGAAGAAAUAGAAACGUACAGAACAAGGAACAAAACUAUGUUCUCACUACAAAAAGAAAUGUGCCCUCAAUUUUGAAGUUGCAUUGAACUGAAAAUUUUGAUUUAUUAAUCCAAUGAAAUAUUUCUGGUUAUUUUCAGAUUAAUCAUGGGCAAGGAGCUCCCAAUGAGACUAUAUUUAUAAAGAUUAUUUAAACCUUAUUUACUUAGCAAGUCACUGAGUAGACUGCAUUGGUGCACUUCCUGAGGUCCCCAGAAUGUGGGAUCAUCCUUGAAGUAGUGGUGGCCCAGUCCUGCAAGGUACUCAUCAACUCCAUCUUUCAUUGCAAUAGAAAUGUUUUGCAUCCCUUAGGAAUAAACACACGAAAGAACCUGCUCUAAAUUAGCUGAGAAAAAGCUUCAUGCAAAAUUUUGCAUUUGUUUCUAAUGAGGAAAGUUAUUUCCAACAGAAUAGUGCAGCAAUGACAACAGAACAUUUGACCCACUGCUUUCAGAAUUUCUUUCCAUUUCUGACAAAUCUCCCAUACAGAGACAGACCAGCUUGUACACUGCCCAGUUUUGCUUUGUUUCCUAAGUUUCGUAUGCAUUUCUUAAUAGCACUUCCAGGUGUUCUGAGCACUUACAGAAUCACUGUAAAGUACUUCAUUCCAAGUAUGCUACCCAUGAACAACAAAUGUAACCUUACGUUGGUAAUGUAACCUCGGCAUUCAUUGAAAGAUUUAUCCGUGAGGCAGAGAAUUGUCAUCAAUUCAAAUCAAAAAUCAUCUGCUAACAAAGAGAUCUGUGCAACCUACUCCAGGGAACCUGCUCUGUCAGAGGCUUGGGCUAGAUGGUUCCCAUGGGUCCCUUCCAACUCCCUUAGUUCUGUGAUUCUGUUAUAAUGAAGACCUUAGUAGAAUGCCGAUCACUUUAUAAAGGAAAAAAAGCAUUGCACUACACACCAGUAUUGCAAAGGCAUUCCUGUUUUCUCAUUCUUCUGGUUUCUUUCCACAUUCCAGCUGAAAGGUGGUUUUUUUAGGAGUUUGUUCAAGCACCUCAUCAGCAGGACUUACCUGAGCUUCAGACCCAGAGUGUGAGGGCCAUCACUUCCUCUGCCCUAUACCAAGGAAAAUUGCAACAGCUGAGCUUGCUGAAAUUGUGUUAAUUGACACAGAAUCCCUUUCAGCUUCUGGGUCUAACUACUGGCUGGAUCAACCAUGCUGAGUGAGCAGCACUUGAAGCAACUGUUGGUACUGAUGCUACAGUGAAAUUUUGCAUUGGAGCAGACCCACUGCCUACUGUGCUGCCCUGCUGGUUCACACAAGGUGAAGAAUACAACCUAGCUGUGGAGGAAAAAAACAUCAGUUGACUCCUGCUGCACCCAUUUGCACAGCCUGCACAUCUAUCAUCUGCCAGGAGCAAAAGCUCUGCAUCAGCACUGGGGAAGUGGUCAACAAGUUCCUUCGUCUCAUGAAGAGAGCAGUGAGCUCGCUGGCCAGUUGGAAGAACAGAGCCAGCUGUGCCAGCUGUAUCU